GUUUUAUAGAUUAGACCCGAAACCAAGUGAUCUAGUCAUGACCAGAUUGAAGGUGUGGUAAAACACACUGGAGGAUCGAACCAGUUAAUGUUGCAACAUUAUUGGAUGAGUUGUGAUUAGGGGUGAAAGGCCAAUCAAACUUGGAAAUAGCUGGUUCUCCGCGAAAUCUAUUUAGGUAGAGCGUUGUAUGUAUGUUGUUGGGGGUAGAGCACUGGAUAGACUAGGGGGAUUCACCGUCUUACCAAAUCUAACUAAACUCCGAAUACCAACAAUUAGUUAUACAGCAGGCACACUACGGGUGCUAAGUCCGUGGUGGAAAGGGAAACAACCCAGAUCACUAUCUAAGGUCCCAAAAUUACAGCUAAGUGGGGAAGGAAGUAGAAAAACCAUUACAGCUAGGAGGUUGGCUUGGAAGCAGCCAUCCUUUAAAGAAAGCGUAACAGCUCACUUGUCUAAAUAAGUUUUUCUGCGCCGAAAAUGUACCGGGGCUAAAGCUGUAUACCGAAGAUGUGAGUGCUUAUUGGUUUCGAUUAAUAGGCGCGGUAGCGGAGCGUUCCGUAAGUCUGUGAAGGUGGUUUGUGAAAACUGCUGGAGAUAUCGGAAGUGAGAAUGCUGACAUAAGUAGCGUAAAAGAGUGUGAAAAACACUCUCACCAAAAAUCUAAGGGUUCCUACGUUAAGUUAAUCUGCGUAGGGUUAGUCGGUUCCUAAGGUGAGUCCGUAAAGGAGUAGUCGAUGGCAAUUAGGUUAAUAUUCCUAAACC